GUGGAAGAAAAGAGCAUCCCACUCAAAAUGUAUUAGCUGCAUGUAAUUUCAACAUGAAAUUCACUUACGUGUUAGCCGGGUGGGAAGGAACAGCAUCUGACUCUAGAAUAUUAAAAGAUGCUUUAAGUAAAGAAGACCCUUUAAUAAUUCCCUAAGGAAAGUUUUAUCUCGGGGAUGCGGGAUUUAUGCUUAAACAAGGGUUA
rnacentral:lncRNA from 1 species